GGGUCGUUAGCUCAGUUGGUAGAGCAGUUGACGAGCAGUUGACUUUUAAUCAAUUGGUCGCAGGUUCGAAUCCUGCACGACCCACCA
rnacentral:tRNA from 1 species